rnacentral:rRNA from 1 species
GCCCUUAGUACGAGAGGACCGGGGUGGACGGACCGCCGGUGCAUCAGUUGGGAACCAAUCCCAUAGCUGAGUAGCCGUGUCCGGCAGGGAUAAACGCUGAAGGCAUCUAAGCGUGAAGCCCCCCUCAAGAUGAGAUAUCCCUGUAGUAAUACGUAAGACCCCUUGAAGACGACGAGGUAGAUAGGGCCAAGGUGUAAGUGCAGUAAUGUACUCAGCUGAUGGUUACUAAUAGGUCGAGAGCUUCACUUG